UACGUAGGGUGCGAGCGUUGUCCGGAAUUAUUGGCGUAAAGAGCUCGUAGGCGGUGUGUCGCGUCGGCCGUGAAAACCUGGGGCUCAACUCUGGGCGUGCGGUCGAUACGGGCAUCACUUGAGUUCGGCAGGGGAGACUGGAAUUCCUGGUGUAGCGGUGAAAUGCGCAGAUAUCAGGAGGAACACCGAGUGGCAAGGCGGUCUCUGGGCCUGUACUGACGCUGAGGAGCGAAAGCAUGGGGAGCGAACAGGAUUAGA
rnacentral:rRNA from 1 species